UCUUUUGAAAUUCAUAAAACUUUCAGUCUAUCAGCAGAUCUCAUAUUAUAUAUAUUUCUUGAUAGACUGCAAGUUUUAUGAAUUUCAAAACA